rnacentral:rRNA from 1 species
GGCCCGCACAAGCAGUGGAGUAUGUGGUUUAAUUCGAAGCAACGCGAAGAACCUUACCAGGUCUUGACAUCCCGUGCAUAGCAUAGAGAUAUGUUAAGUCCUUCGGGACACGGAGACAGGUGGUGCAUGGUUGUCGUCAGCUCGUGUCGUGAGAUGUUGGGUUAAGUCCCGCAACGAGCGCAACCCUUAUCGUUAGUUACUACGUAAGAGGACUCUAGCGAGACUGCCGUUGACAAAACGGAGGAAGGUGGGGAUGACGUCAAAUCAUCAUGCCCUUUAUGACCUGGGCUACACACGUACUACAAUGGUAGGGACAGAGGGCAGCCAACCCGCGAGGGCGAGCUAAUCCCGUAAACCCUGCCUCAGUUCAGAUUGCAGGCUGCAACUCGCCUGCAUGAAGGCGGAAUCGCUAGUAAUCGCAGGUCAGCAUACUGCGGUGAAUCCGUUC